CAGCAGCCGCGGUAAUACGAAGGGUGCAAGCGUUACUCGGAAUUACUGGGCGUAAAGCGUGCGUAGGUGGUGGUUUAAGUCCGUUGUGAAAGCCCUGGGCUCAACCUGGGAAUUGCAGUGGAUACUGGGUCACUAGAGUGUGGUAGAGGAUAGUGGAAUUUCCGGUGUAGCAGUGAAAUGCGUAGAGAUCGGAAGGAACAUCUGUGGCGAAGGCGACUAUCUGGGCCAACACUGACACUGAGGCACGAAAGCGUGGGGAGCAAACAGGAUUAGAUACCCGAGUAGUCCCUGUCUCUUAUAU
rnacentral:rRNA from 1 species